CGGGCCGGGCGGGGCGGCGCGGCGCGACCCGGGAAUCUCCGAGUCCGCGGCGCGGGCCGGGCACCCAGGCCGAGGGAAAGGCAGGAAGCGCCUGAUUUCAGACACCACCCUCAGACUAGCAGCUCAGUGCGGAGCCCGAGCGGCCGGGCGCAGUGGCCGCUUCUAGCCGGGCAGGGGAGCGGAGCGGCCCUGGCGUCUGUCACUUGCGCCAACGGCAGCUGCCAGGGGCUCUCCCGGGCAAGGCGCUGAGACUCGACCCGGAACGGGACCUGCGAGCUUCACCUGCCCCUGUCAAGACUUGGCCCAAGGAAAGUGCUCCCCAGAAUCGAGCGAAGAAUUUGUUCAACCAGAUUUCCCACCUGCGCCCCCAUCCGAGAGAACGCUGGAUUUUCAGGACGCCUGCCGCGGGAGCACAGCCACCCCACGUUCUCAGGCGGCACCUUGUUAAGAUCAGCGGGCUUUCGUGCAUCUGGUCUGAUGCUGACAGUGAAGAUGGGUCUUUGCUGUGGGGCACCUGGUUAUCUAUCACCACCAGUACCCCCAGACCACUCCACCCCAUCCCGCCACAGGCCGUUGAGGCCGAGAACAAGGUAGCAUGCAGCCAUAUGUCCCUGAGAGAGGAUGUGUAUGGGCAGGAGCUACCUGAGUGGUUCUUUCAAGGAUUUGUAGCCUUGAGCUGGCCCCUGGUGCUGGAAUUUGGGGAAGUAGAGGGAACAGAGGGAAGACAUUCUGGGCAGAGAAUGGAAGAAUUAUAGGUUCCCUAGGGACCAUCCAUAGGGGACAGUGUGCCCUUGAGAGGCUGUGACUGGUGUACUCUCCAGAUGCCCCGAGCUCAAGGAUUAAGUCUUCUCCUGGUCCCUCUAGCCUACCUGUUCAGGGUAGACCCACUCUCCUUGAAGGGGCAGGGAGCAAAAUCUCUUUCUGUUUCCUUGGCGCAAUGCUCAGACUCUCAGAGUUGAUGUUUGUUAAGUUUAUUUCAUAGGAGCUGAGUUUCAAAAAGGAAGCACCAGGCCAUUGGCCUCAACAUUUGAGCAGGAAACACCGUGUAGAAAGGGAUUUUGAAAACAGUGUAAAUUUACUCUUCUUUACCAUUCUUUGCAAUACAUUUGUCAGAGGAUAUUUUGCUGCUCUUUCAACCGUUAAUGAUUGGUGGUGAGGGUUUCAUGAUAAAUCCUUGGGUACAUCUUUUCCUAAGUCCACACGUAUGCAUGUACAGAGCACACACACACUCUCCUUAGUGAGUGGUCCCUGACUCCCUUCAGCAUCUGUGUCUUCAUCCUUCAGACUGGUCUUGACCUGUUCCAGUGGCUCUUCUGUCUCCUUCCUAGACUAGCCUGCCUUGUCUACAGGAGGAAAGAAAUCAGGAGUUCUCCACACCCUUUUCCUAUUCUCCAGGACCCCCAGCUAGGAGUGGAGAAUUGACCUGUCAGCUUGUUUCCUGCUGGGACACACACAUCAAGUUCACUGUGGCUGAGGGCUGACUGUCCAAACUGGCAAGAGUCAGGUUUAGCAGUUUCCCCUCCUCUGCCCCCUGCCUGCACACAAAGUCUUGGGUGGAGGGAGGUAGCAGCAGAAUCAAGACAACGAGCUUGUCCCCUUCAGCGUUGUAAAAUCUUUGUAAUCAGAAUAUAAUUUGAUAUCUUGCAGGCUAAAGAGUACUCACAUCAAAGGACAUUCUGAUGCUUGGAAAUCAUUAAUUCUUCCCUCAAAUUGUCCAUAGCCAGUCCACAUCUGUAGUUCUAUCAACCUUCCAAAUCAUUCAAGUCAAAGAGACGACCAGGCGUUGAAGUUUUUUUCUAAACAUCUACAACAUUUUUUUGUAAACUGAAAAAUAAUUUUUGGACAUUUAUAGAACUAGGAGGAAACCCAAUAUCCUAAAAUGUUAACACUCUGACUCUGGCAUCUUGUAUAUCUGAUUGAAUCCUCACAACAACCCUAUGAGGUAGACUCCAUCCUCCUUUUAUAUGAAAACAAUCGAGACCUAGAGAAUUUAGUAACUUACCCAGAGAAACAAAGCCUGCAAUUGGCAGAGCCCGAUUUUGAAAGCAAAAUGAGCCGGUUCGAAAGCCUCUGUAUUGGCUUCUAUACCAUGCUGCCUCAGUUCCCAUGGUUUUCAUAAGGAUAAUACUGAACUCACUGGGUUGACGUGAGGACUAAAUGGAAGAAUUUAUUUGUAUGCUUAGCACAUUAUUUAAUAUCAACAAAUAUAACUAUUGCUUAAAGAAAAACUCUCUCAGUGGACAUAAAUUUCCCACUCUCAAUUUCCUACCAGUGUCUUUUUUUUUUAUUAUUAUUAUCAUUUCCAUAUCAGUUCUUUGCUUGUGCAUGUGUACACCUUCCUACGGGGGAUAGUUUCACAGGUAAGUCAGGAGCUAUGAACUUGUUUCUCAGCCUGUGGUAUAAGAAGAAUGAGGAAAAAAAUGACAGAAUGCGAUUUAGAGGGAAGAACUCAUUUUUCCUAGAGGAAGCUGUGAUGUUUUUGUAUUUUAGCAGUAUGGAAUAACGGCACCCCAAGCUGAGUGAAAUUCCAGCUGUAGCCCCCGGAUGCUGCAUAGAGAACGCCGCUGCGUUCCUUUACCUACAGGCACAGUAGCUGUCUCGCGUGGCCACUGAAAGUCCUGUUUCUGUGUGCGUGGAGACUGACUAGCGUGUGGCCUUCCUCCUAAGAAUAUGCCUGGGCUACUGCUGCACAUGCUUGAUUCAGCUGGCCUUGAGCUCAAGGAUAAUACCUUCUGUAAAGCCAAGCAUAGCCUUUUCUCCCCGUGCAAACAGGAGAACUACUCUAUCUUCUGAUCAGAGGCCAGCAAAGUCCCACUGUCAGUUUUCCCUUUCCUUUCUUCCACAUACUUAUUACAGAGUGUAUGUUUAAAGAGUCUCCUUCUUCACUGUAAUCAGCCGCCCCCUCCUUCCUGAUUCAUUUGUGGAAGUGAUUGUGGGACCACUAGCCUCAGAGUCUUCCCUGAAUGAUUCAGGCCAGCAGAACUUGCUGUUUAGAUCGGCAAUUAACCCAGAUAUUAGUGAGUAAACAGCCCAGACAUUCUUGGGGAGGAAGCACUGCCAUGGGCCACUGCAUUGAAGGAAUUACAAUUCCUGCAGACAAGCCUUGGAGGGCAGUGAGCAGAGAAGUCUUCUGGUGGCUGCAGGACCUUCCUCGGUGGCAGCAGUAGACAGGGGGACUCAGAGGAAAAACAGGAAAGGGUGCCUGACUCAGUAGGAUGUCAAAGGUCAGAUGUCAUCUGUGUAUGAGAGAGAGAGAGAGUUUUUGUUUGUUUGUUUUUUGAGGUACGCGGGCCUCUCACUAUUGUGGCCUCUCCUGUUGCAGAGCACAGGCUCCGGACGCGCAGGCUCAGCGGCCAUGGCUCACGGGCCCAGCCACUCCGUGGCAUGUGGGAUCUUCCUGGACCAGGGCACGAACCCGUGUCCCCUGCAUCGGCAGGCGGACUCUCAACCACUGCGCCACCAGGGAAGCCCGAGAGAGAGGUUUUAUAAAGGACUCUGGAGAACUGUGUUCAGGCAGAGUGAGGUUUUAAUGUGUUAAGGGAUUUAGGAAAAGAAAUCUAAUCCAAAGUAAGGUAUUGUUCGAGUAUCAGCCCCCUGCAAAGCCUCAGCUAUUAGUGUAUUCCUUAUCUCUAGCGAAAAGAAAAAGUAGGAAACCUUAUGCGGAGUCCACUUUUACAGUUUUCAUCACCAGCAUAAUGGGUGAGGUAAGAAGCCAUCAGAGGCGUUUGCUUUGUCCUCAGCUACCUAGGUGGUUUUCAUGCCAGUAUUGUCGGAAGACUGGUCUGACCUUCUGCUAACAUCUUCCAUCUAUCUCCCAGCUCUCAGGUCUACCUUGGGAAUGCACAUUCAAGUUGUGUAUUCAGCUUGAAUCCUUCCUUCGCAAGGGAUAUUGCAGGAUGGCUCUAAAGCCCAGUAUUGAAGUCUGGAGGCUGAUGGUUCCACAGGUGGUCCAAGCGGCUCCAAGAUGUCAAGCUCGUGAACUGCCUAGUUGACCAGCAUGCAGGAGAGGUACCCAGAGGAUUCAGCACAGCUGAUGCCAAACCAUUCCAUUAAGCACACUUGGAGACAGAAGAGCUAUGCAUUCAAUUCUGUCCUUGCUGCUGUCCCCCGACCUCCUGCAGCCUCAGCCGUACAGCCAGAGCUUUCUGAAGACUGGGAAGAUUGCCCUCCAAAUUCUCAGGAGUGCCGGGGGAAAGUCCUAAAUCAAAUGCCUAGCUAUCCUUACGCAGGUGAAACUAAUGGUAUUGAUGGGAAAGAGUAGUGAUGAUCAAGAGAAGCAAAAGAGAGACAGGAAAAAAUAUAUAAAGAAUUGAGGAAGGAAAAAUCAAAGAAAGAUAGAGAGCUGCAAAAUGGACUUAAAUAUUUUUUAGUGAUGGGUCAAUCUGCCUGAUAAGCUCAAAAAAUUCUUCCCAAACUCAGAGGAAAAGGAAAAAAAUUAUGAGAGAUAAGAUAUGAGACAGAGGGACUUCCCUGGUGGACCACUGGUUAAGAAGCCACCUUCCAAUGCAGGGGACAUGGGUUCUAUCCCUGGUCGGGCAACUAAGAUCCCACAUACCACGGGGCAACUAAGGCUGCACACCACAACUACUGAGCUGGUGCGCCCUAGAGCCAUGCGCCACAACUAGAGAGAAACCCACAUGCUGCAACUAGAGAAGACCACGUGCCGCAGCUAAGACUGGACACAGCCAAAUAAAUAAAUAAAUAAUUUUUAAAAUAUAUGAGACAGAGAAGGACAAAGCCAGGAUAUCCAAAAUAUUUUUAACAGAGAGCCAAAAAGGGAGCAUAUUGCUGAUAGAGGAGAAACUGUUCUUGUGUCCCAAGACAGGAGGGGUCCUCAAUAAGGGGAGGGGGAUAUACAUCCCACAGAUCUAUAAGGGGGAGGGGAUUUUGAGAUAAUAAAAAGUGCAAGGACAGACUUCUAUUCUGUGACAUACAUUUAAACCAUCACAUUGAACUUCUCCUCCUGCCUCUCUUUCAAACUCCCAUUGCAACAGGCAAAGGAAAAUAACGACGGGGGUAAAUCUGCCAUUGUUCAAAACUGAAAAACGAUUCCACCCACAUAACAGACAUUUUAAGGAAUUUCUCUAAGACAACGCAGAUGAGACCAGUUUGAGAGAAGGCUUUGACAACCUUCAAUUUACCUCACAGAAAAGAAAGGUAUCUCUAGGGAGCCACCCCCAUCAGAACCCAGCAAUGCUCCUGAGGUUGGUUGUAACAAA